AAGGACAACAGGGAGAGGUCGAGGGCCGAGACGGCCUCGAGGAGGAGUAGAGGAAGGUGGAGCGGAUGGUCCAUCCGGGCGGGAGUUGGCUGGGCGAGUGACCGCGCAUGUGCGCCUGCAUGGAGGCCAGGCUGGGACAGCCGGCCCCGCACAGGGAGCAGCGGUACGGAGCGGCCCCGUGUGUCCGCAGGUGCUUGGUCAUGGCCGAGAAGUCCCGGGAGCGCUGAGGACAAAGGCUACAGGAGAAGGGCUUCUCUCCU
rnacentral:lncRNA from 1 species